rnacentral:siRNA from 1 species
GAAUGUGUUUUGGGUGAAUUGUU